rnacentral:rRNA from 1 species
AUGGCCGUUGCUGCUCUAUAUAACUCCUUCCUAACCGUCGGGAGGAUUACUCGACCGGAAUCGGCGAUCCCGAUCCAUCUUCUUCCCAGAUCUGCAUUCUCCCUCAUCGGGCGGCCUGAACUGUUGGACCGAUCAAUGGGGAGGUCUCCCUGCUGCGACAAGGCGAGCGUGAAGCGAGGGCCGUGGUCGCGGGAGGAGGACGCCAUCCUCAGGAACUUCGUCCAGAGGUUCGCCAAUGCCGGCAACUGGAUCACGCUGCCACAGAAAGCAGGGCUUAACCGAUGUGGUAAGAGCUGCCGGCUGCGGUGGCUCAACUACCUCCGCCCCGCGCUCCGGCAUGGCGGCUUCACCGAGGAGGAGGACAGCCUCAUAUUGUCCCUCUACGGCGACAUCGGAAGCAGGUGGUCGGUCAUCGCGGCCAAGCUCCCCGGCCGAACAGACAACGAUGUCAAGAACCACUGGAACACCAAGCUCAAGAAGAGGUACUACUCGCUGACCGCGGCGCCAUCAACUCCCCCUACAGGCGGCGACGCCAUCGCGUCCGCGGACAGCCCUCACGGGGUCGACCAAUCGUCCCUCCCCCCUCCUGCUCCUGCCCUGGUAAAUCUCGACGCGGCCCUCGCCACGGUCGACGACGGCGGAGAGCUCACGCACGAAUCGGAGCAGCUGUACGCCGAGCUCAUGGGGCUCAUCGAGCCGCAGUCCACGACCCAUACGUCCACCGGGGAGGUGAUGUCGUCGCCGUCAUCGUCAUCGCAGCCACCGUUUGGAGCAAGUCCGACCGUCAGUAGUUUUGCAGCGGGGAGCAGCGCUACGUGGCCAGUGGACGUGCAUGACACAAUACUGUGGCCGGAGUCUAGCGGGAACGGCAUGGUUGAAUUUGACGAUCCAUGCGUUGCUCAGGCUUUCGGUCCGCCGUCCAUGUCACACCUGCUACGAUGUAGCGGUGGACUAGCAAGGAGAAGGAGUAGCACAGGAGAGUUGUGGGCUGAGCCCACUGGGUCUGGCUUGGGCCGCAUGUGGCCAAGCCGUCCGUCGUGUGUGUGUGCCUGUACUUAUGGAACCGUCCUCUGUUGGACAAGGAGCGAAGGAAAAGUUUGA